rnacentral:rRNA from 1 species
GAAGCCUGACGACGCAACGCCGCGUGGAGGACGAAGAUCUUCGGGUCGUAAACUCCUGUCGAGCGGGAAGAACACCUUUCGGGCUAACAGUCCGGAGGGUUGACGGUACCGCUAAAGGAAGCCCCGGCUAACUCCGUGCCAGCAGCCGCGGUAAUACGGGGGGGCAAGCGUUGUUCGGAAUUACUGGGCGUAAAGGGCUCGUAGGCGGCCGACUAAGUCCGACGUGAAAUCCCCAGGCUCAACCUGGGAACUGCGUCGGAUACUGGAUGGCUUGAAUUCGGGAGAGGGAUGCAGAGUUCCAGGUGUAGCGGUGAAAUGCGUAGAUAUCUGGAGGAAUACCGGUGGCGAAGGCGGCAUCCUGGACCGAGAUUGACGCUGAUGAGCGAAAGCUAGGGGGAGCAAACGGGAUUAGAUACCCCGGUAGUCCUAGCCCUAAACGAUGAAUGCUUGGUGUGACGGGUAUCGAUCCCCGUCGUGCCGAAGCUAACGCAUUAAGCAUUCCGCCUGGGGAGUACGGUCGCAAGGCUG